rnacentral:rRNA from 1 species
UACGUAGGGGCCGAGCGUUGUCCGGAGUUAUUGGGCGUAAAGCGCGCGCAGGCGGCCUCGCGCGCCCGACGUGAAAGCCCCCGGCUUAACCGGGGAGGGUCGUUGGGGACGGCGGGGCUUGAGGGCGGGAGAGGGUGGUGGAAUUCCCGGUGUAGUGGUGAAAUGCGUAGAGAUCGGCAGGAACACCCAGGGGUAAACCAGCCGACUGGGCAUCUGCUGACGCUGAGGUGCGAGAGCGUGGGGAGCGAACCGG